rnacentral:lncRNA from 1 species
AUGCUGAGAAGCAGGGCCAUAGAUGCCAGGAGGGGUGGGGGGCAGCCCUGGCCCCGGAGCGGCUGCCAACAGGUGCUCGGCGUCUACGACAACUCGCUCACAGCAACCGCCCCCACCCGGGGCCUCGCGUUACAACGGGGCAGGGAGUUCCCUGAAGCCCUGGGAAGAUGGCCGAGUCGGGGCACAGGAGCAGAAAUGGAGGCCUCAGCUUGGUUCCCACCCCAGGAGUCCUCUGUGCGUCUUCUUCAGGGAGGACCUCUGUGCGGCGGUGGGAAGUUCACACCUGUCUGUCUAUUUCUACAGAACUGUUUUCAUUGUCGUGUGCUUAUUUAUAGCUAAACCCUCAAAUGUCCAAAUCAGGGUGAACAGCUGGGCGGUUCAUUCACUAGAACCUGACCAUGCUUUUGUCAACUGCGAUUGCUCGUCUGUUUACAGAAAUAAAGCUCUUUCGCCUUCAUCAGCCCUCAGUAAAUGAUGAUGUGUGAUUUCUUUCACUUUGGGGCCUUCGGCUCCUGGUUUUCACACCACAGGGUCAGGGAUCAAGGCCUAGGCCCAUAGUUCCCCACCGUGACCAUAUAAAUUUGCCUGCACAGCAGCCCUGGGGAAGGGCCCCAGGAAACCACAUUUUUAACAAGCGCACUGCGAAACUGCAAGUGCUCAAAAUGACUUCAUCCUAACAGAGACCACUUUUCUCCAGCAACACCAUAAGCGGAAGCAGAAUUUAUGAGUAUGCUGUUAAGCUCCACUUUGGGUUCUGAAUUCGCUGAGGGCAAGUCUAGGGCCCAAGGAAGGUUCUGGAGCCUCGAGGUGCAGCACAAAACAGGACCCUAAAUAUUGGCUGCCAUGCUUUCCAUUGGCCCAUCCCAUCCUGGAAUCAGGAACCAAAACCCCACCACUAGCUUCAGCCGAGGGGCCACGCAGGUGGCGGGGCCAGCGUCUCCUCUCUGCUCGCAGUGCUGCUGUGGGAUUGUGGAACAGCAAAGAGGAAUCAGCCCCGAGUUCAAAAGGCGAACAGGCCUCCCGAGCAAGCCCCUGCCGCUGGGCCUGCAGAUCACUCACGCCAAGAAACGCUGCUUAUCUCCUGAACUUUCAGCCUGCUAAUUCCAACCAAAGUACAUAUCGCUUAGCUUUAGGCAAUAAAAAGAAAAAAAUUAUGUUUAUCUGCUGUGGC